rnacentral:lncRNA from 1 species
AUCAAUACCUCAUAUUAACAUCAAUACCUCAGUUUAAAAGCUUGCAUUUAAUAGUCUUGCAUUUAACAAGCUUCACUCAAAUUUAAUCUUUUCCUCUCCCAGUUCUGGAAAGUGAGGAGCUAUCUUUGGCAUACUGAAAAAAAGUGCUCCUUGGGAGUAGGGUUAGGGAGACAGGGCAAAUACUUGAUAUGUAAUAUCUGUAAUAUUGUAUGCAAUAUUGGUUUAUUUGUUUGUUUUAGGACACAUGUGGGGCCAAUUCUUGUUUCCUUGUGUACAAGGUAGGGAACUUCUCUGAAACUCAGUUUCCUGGUUUGGAAAUUAGAAAUAAUAAUGCACCUUCCGUAGGGGUGCUGUACAAAUCAAACAAAUUGGCAUUGGAGAUGUCUUAAUUCGGUGCUCUGCCUGUGGAACAUGCUUCAGCUUACACCUUUAAGUGACUUGGAAUUGUCUCAUUCAUUACAUUCUCAAAAAAUGCACGCAAAAUUCUAUAAAGGCAGGUGAGUUGAGAGGAUUCUUCUAACAUUCCCUGCGAACACUCAGGACCCUCCUCGCUCCUGUUCCAUUCCAGUCUCUGCCUAGUUCUUGGCACUUAACCUUGUAUUUUAUGGAUGAACAUACAUCCCCAUUUAGAAUAUAUCCGUGGCAUUUUGUUCGCCUGAAUGGGGCCCACAGAGCUUUUUAAGACUGACAUUCUGGCUAUUCCUGCUCCUAGCUGCUUCAGGUGGGCAAACACGACCUCAUUUGUCAGCUGUUUGAAACCCAAUUCUCUAUGACAUUUUUUUAAAAAGCUGGACCAUUCCCUGAAGGUAAGAGGACAUGCAGAUUUAUAAUGGAUACUUUGUGAUAGUUGAAUUUGAAAAUAGACUUACAUUUUAAAUUAUUGCAAGCCCCUUCUGAACUUACUUGAUACCUCUAUCAAUAACCUUCCCAUUUUACCGUCAGUGCUGUCUCUAGCCUCACACUGCUGCUCAGUGUUUUCUGAGUGGCCAUAGCUCAGGAAACUUUUGGGGUCUGUCAUGGAGGGGAGAUAGGGUUGCAGUGGGAGCCUUCCAGGAUACAUACUUAACGUCACCCUAGAAGUCCCUACUUUUUCUCCUUUGCCCAAAGAUAAAUUUAAUGCUUUUUGGAGAUGGUCUUAGCUCUCUUGAAUGUGAUCAUGAACUAUAUGAACUUAGUCUAGUUUCUUAAUCCACCUGGCACUCUGUUUUAUACAUAAAGUGGGAGAAGUAAAAUCUACCCCCCAAAUUAUUAUGAAGACUAAACAAGUCAUUUGUGCACAUAAUUAACUUUAUGGCACCACUUCCAUGUGCUUGACUCCUAUAGCUCAGUGACGGAAGCAAAAGGAUGAGUGGGACCUGGUUCCAGCCUUGUAGAAUCUCAAAGUCUAGAGAGUGAGAAAGACAAAUAACAGGACUCCCAAGCAACCUGGGACAAGUGCUGUGUAAGCCAUGAGCUGCUUUAUGGAGGCCUGGGAGGGUCAGGAGGUGCCUCUUGAGGAAGAGACUCCCAGAGGUGACACCUGAACUGAUGAACAGAAGUUCUUCAGGCGCAGGCAGAUGCACGUGUGCUCUGGGGAGUCAUUAAGUGGAAGGAAGAGGUUUUGUAAAGAGGUUUUGUAAAGAUGCCCAGAUAAUUUAGAAGUUCAGGGCAGCUGGAGAACAGAGUUUGAGAAGCAGGGUGAGGAGUGUGAGGGUAGCGCAUUGGCAGAGUUAGAGAACCAGUCAGAAGGGGGCGGCCCUUCUUUGCCCAUCUCUUCACCUGUGGCCUUGAUUUAAAACCUUGUUUUCUCUUCACUGGAGUUUGUGACUGUCUUUGGAAGGUCUUCUGGCCUCUAAGCCUGACCUUUUUGUACUUCUGCGAGAAUUAUUAUCAUAAAUCUGACGCUGUGGUUCUGCUGAUAGAACCCUUUACUAAUAUCUUUUCAUUUCAGGAGCUGUCCCAUAAAGCCGUUCUGGGAAACAUCUGUCCUGAGAACACUCUGGGCUUCAGACUGGGGAGUGAUGAAGUGGUGAGCAUGAAGGGUUCCAUGGCAAACAUUCCCCCUUUUGGGAUACAUAUCAGGAUCUUUUAAAGCUCUGAGAAGUCCUAUAGUAAAGGAACAUGUUUUGGUUAACCUGGAAUUUCAUGCAGUUAUUUUAAUCACUAAAUUCUUCCUUCUUUUUCUCUAUGGCAUCUGUUAUGUAGAAGCAGGAGUUGUUCACAGAGCCCAGUGUGGACAAUGCUGGCAUGUUGGGUUAAGUACAGACUUUUGAGAAGCACAUACACUUAUGACCUGGCUCCUCAUUUCUUCAGCUUCAUCUUCCAUGCUUUCCUUUUCACCAUCUCUCUAGUUCCAUGGAGUGACUUGAGGUUCCCCCAAACAUCAUGGUGUUGGGAGGAUCUGAGGUGCCUCCUGGAGAGAACUCAGCUAAAAGGGAGAAGAAUGCACAUGCCUUACUGGGGAUCAAGGCUGAGGCCUUUGGAGGGGGUUAGAAGCUUUGAGUGCCGCAGAAUGGCUGACACUUGAUAUACCAUUCCUGUUGCCCCAUGGUUACACAGAUGCUGGCAUCAGUCCACCAGCCAGGAGUGAAGUCCGAGUGCUAACUGUGUGCAUUUGCUCAAUUAUUUACCUUCCUAAGUCUAGCUUCCUCAGCUAUGAAGGUGAGGUAACAGUAAUUCCUGCCUCAAUGGGCUACUGAGAGGAUUAAACACAAAAUGUCCGGUAUACUUGUUGGCACAUGGUGAAGCAUACAAUAAUCAAGCUAGCACUAUUUAUGCAAAGUUAUUACUCACUAACUAAUGAUAAUAAUGGCUGAUAUAAAUAUAGCACUUACUAUGUGUUAGGUACUGUUUUCAGUAUUUUACACACUCAUUUAUUUAAUCUUAACUACUACACUAGGAAUUACUAUCUUCCUCAUUGUACAGAUAAAUUAGUCAUUUUGUAAGUCACACAACUAGUAAGUGAUGUAUCAGGACAUGAUCCUAGGAAGUUUGUCUCCAACAUCUAUACUCUUCAUACUACCCUAAAUGAAAAUAAGCAAAAUAAUAAAAGACCUGUUUCACUAAAAACUUGGUGAGUGGUUGAGGGGCACACAGAAACAUCCUUAUUUCAGGCUCUUGCUUAUAGAAGGGAACACAUAUAAAAGAGACAGAAAGGCAAUCUCCCUCAUUCCACAAGAUACUUUGGUACAGGUUUCGCCAUCAGGAGCAGUACUCAGUGAGGAAUGACAGUGGUCAGCUAGAGUGGAAAUCCUAGACAGCACACAAUAGUCUAGAAAUUUCCAGAAAUACCUGUGAUCGUUUUGUAGGAAAUGGGAGGUUCUGUGCCAGUAGACGAGGGCAAUCACCAGUAGCACUUUUGCUACUGCAGUUAACUGCAAACCCACCUGUACUCAUGAGUCAACGGUUUGGGUGUGUUCAGUUUUUUGGCCCUGUGCACGCCCUCUUGCUUGUUAGUGAUUCCUUCCUUGGUGGGUGCUUUGAGAGAAUACAACCUGAGCAGAUCCUGUUAUCCUCCUGUCUUACUGCUUCUGGCCUUAACCAUAAAGGCUGUUCAAUAAAUGCAUUUUAAAUUAAAUUAUUUUGAAAAACCAAAGAAAAGUCCAAGUUUAUAAUGAUGAAGUGCUCAUAACAACUGGCCAUCUGAUACCUAAACGGUGCUUAUUUGAUCUUAUAAAAAGUCAUAGAAUAAAUACAUAUUGCUUCUAAAAUAAUUUUAUGCAAUUUGGAUGUCACAGCCAACUUGCAAUGUAUGAGCAGUUUGAAAUUAAUGUUCAUCUUUCAGCUUUUUAUUAAAUCGGCUAAAAACCAAUCUAAUUCCAAUUUUUUUAAAAUAUUUCUUCUCUUUAAAAAAGCUGAGGGAAAUGGUGAAACCACUGAAUCUUUCUAAAAAUGGCAAAAGCCAAGUGCUAGACCUUUUAGACUCAGAGACAAAUGAAGUAGUGACUCUAUUUUGAAUAGAUUUAGUGCCUAAACAUCAUUGCUCCUGCUAACUUCUCUCUGAUUUAUGACUUGAUUUUGGCAAGGAAGGCAGUCUAGUACAGGAAAGGGCUGUGUCUUGCUGACGGGAUUUUGAAUGCCCUCUUUCUGCUAUUCACCCUUCACCAGAGGUAACUUUGUUCAAGUCAGUCAGCAAGUUGCCCUGGGCAGGCCCCAUGUUCUAGGCACUGUGGAUACAGCAGUGAAUAAAGCUGAACUGAUCUGAUCUCUCUCCUUGUGGAGUUCAAGAAAGAGAAGAAGUUGACUUCUCAAAAAUCUCACUUUCCUUUAUAAGAAAGUGAGUAUAAGUCUAGUUCUCGAGACAGCAUGAGAGAUCUAGCAUACUGCACACCACACUAUGUGAACACUCAUUUCCACUCCCUUCCUAUUCCCGUUCUUUCCUCCAUUGGCCCUAUGUCUAGGUACCUGCUCUUUCCUCUUCAGUCUCACUGCUUGAUGCAUUUCAGGCACCAAGAUCUGGAUUUUUAAUCUAUUCCUAGGUCUGUAUUCCUUCUGACCUCAGUUUCUCCCCAGAGCCAGCCUUUCCUCAGUGGCCCAGGGUGCUCACAUGUUAUCUUUUUCUGACUCACCUUGGGCUCCUGACUUUUCCUCUAGGACAUGUUCCAGUGGCUCCCACACACCACAGGCCCAACUUUCCCUGGAUGCCCUCCCCCAGAUCCCUUGACAAGUCCUGGCACAGGGCUGCAACACAGAGUUUCCUCCUACAGGCCUAAAGCUGAGCAACUACCCCUCCCCAUGACUUCCACCCCUCCAGCCACCCGCCCCUCCUGGCAAACUUUUAUUUAAGGCUGGGAAGAGUGGCAUCACAAACGUCUAGUUUCUAUACUUGAGAUUCAGAGGAACUUCAAUUCCUCAAGGCUCUUGGCUCUGAAGGUUUUAGACCGUGGAAGUGCAAAGCACCUGUAGAUAUAAGUAUUUAGCCCUGAAUCAUGAAUGAUGGGGAUCUUAGGAUGCAGUUAUGUGGUUAGUUAGGAAAAGCACAGAGUAGCAUCGAGGUUCAACAAAACUCUUCAGAUCUGUGAAACUGCCCAGAAAAUUUCAGAGGAUAGAGGACAGCAGGCCGAAUGUGUGCUGCUUAAUGGCCUGUAGCCAGGGCAGUCUCUCAAAGUCCAAAGCACACUUUGUAGGAAAGGGGAGAACUGUGGUCUCUGUGUGCAGUUAUAAGAAUAGAAGUAACUUGUUUUAGCAUUCCACAGAGUAUUUAUUCAUUCCUUCCUUCAUUCAUUCACUGUCAACAAAUAUGAAUCAAUUUUGUAUUCUACAUGCCUUGACCUAGAGAGACUCUGGUCAGGGAAACCCAUUCCUGCCCCUCUUGGAGCUUACAUCUGCAUCAGGGAACAGAUAAUAUCUAUGUGAACAAAAGCAUAAGAUAAUAUCAGUGAGUCUGAUGAGGGAAUAGUGACCAGGAGAUGCUAUUUAAACUAGGAUGGGCGGGAAAUUAAGAUUGCUUACUUAUAAUCAGCCAAGUGCCUGGCAUCAGGACUAGGGGAAGAUUUCUCAACCUCAGUACUAUUGACAGUUGGGCUGGAUAAUUCUUUGUUUUGGGUAACUAUUCUAUGCUUUGUAGAAUAUUUAGCAACACUCUAAAUGCCAGUAGUUUCCCCCUCCCUGUGGUUGUGACAAUCAAAAAUGUCUCCAGACGUUGACAAAUAUUCCCUGAGCACCAUGGAUGCUAAUGGAUGUGGGGCUUUUUUUUCUUCUUCUUCUUCUUCAUGUCAUUCUCGGCAUGAAGCACCAAAUGCAGAAAGAUAAAGUCCUUUUGGUUCAAUCAUCACAGUAAUGAGAUUCCAUCAGAUCUGGUCCCAGAAGAGAAAAAGCUGAAAGCCUAAGGUAUAAUAACUCAGGGAUAAAGCACAGAUUUGGAUACACCUACCCUUUUAUCAGAAGAAAGUUAGAACAGAAUAAUGGAAUGACAAUGGGUUUCCCACAGGGAGAGAGAGUGGGAACUUCGUACUACCUGUGUGAUGAUUAGUAGGUUACUAGGCCUAGCUGUUCUUCCAUGUCCUUAUUUGUAAAUGGGUUGUAUAAUGUCCUCCUCAGAGGUCACAGCUGCAGAAGACUUUGCUGUGGGGCUUAAAUGAGAGAGGACAUAUGUAUAGUUGUAGACCAAUAAAUAAUAGUUCUUAUGAUGGUUAUUGUCAUUUUGAUUCAUAACUUGGAGUUUAUAUUUAAAUUUGUUCCCAAGUUUGAGCUCAGUGUGAGUGCUGUUUAAUUGCAUUCAUUUAUAUACUUUGAUUUUUUUCUCAACUAGUUUAAAAUCUCCAAUAAUCCUUAGAACCCCUAACUUUUGAGAAGAGGCCCUGAUUUUUCCUCACUUCUGGGUACAGUGGAUGUCAAUGGCUUUCUGAAGUCUGUGGCUCAGGGAACACCACUGGCUUAGGUCACAGGCCUACUGGGUGAAUUCCAGGGCACUGAAGAGACCUCAGGUGAGCUGUCUGAAACUUUGGGUUUUCAGGUGAGCUGUCUGAAACUUCGGGAUUUCAGCCGAAGCAGAGUGGUGUGGCAUACAAUGUGACCUUGUGAAUAAAUCCUGCAUGGAGCCCAGAAAGUCCUGGGCUUAAAUCUUAACACUGCUGCUCACUCUCCAACUUGUCCUGUGCAAUCACUAUGUUCUCAGGUCUUCAUGUCCUUGUCAGGAAAAGAGGCAUGAUGAUGACUCUCAUUGCAUGCUUGGGGCUUGAGAAAAGGCAUGUACUGCUAUAUUGAUGCUCCUAGAAUAUUCUGUGCCUUCAUUUGCUACUUUAGUAUGAUUGAGACUUUUUAGUCCAAAAGCAUUUUAUAAAACAAAACAAGAGCAAAAGGAAAUGUUACCAAAUACAGGAAACUCUUGAAUUCUGAUGACCAGAACUUCAUUCUGAGAAUUCAGCUGACUCUCAAGAGCAGGCAUCUCUGAGGAACAGUAGCCCAGCUGGCAGAGAGAAGAUCACGAGUUUGAUAAAAUCCCUUUUUACCGAGCCAUCAUACAUGGUGACAAUUGAUAAGUUAGAAUCCUAGACUAGAAAAAAACCUCAGGUACCCUUAGACACUAUCCAUUCUUAGGAUUUGCAAAUUAUUUUAGUGGUAGGGACUUUUACCUCCAAAAAACUUUUUAAUUUGUAACUGAGACUAAAGUUUAACACGUAAGUGAGACUAGAGCAAAGAGGUGGAUGUAGAAAGGUGCUAAUCAAGUAUGUGAAGAAAAUAAGAUGGGGGUAGUUUGCACACUAAGUCAAAGCAAAGCACAGGUUAAUAGCUGUUUUGAUUUGGAUGGACCAGGCUGCCUCCCACAGUUUUUAAAUCUGUUUCUGCAUCUCGGAGGCAACUAAUCCUCACUAAAAUACUCUUGCAAGUAGCAAAUACCAUCACCAUCAUCCUUACGGAGGAUACUAGAUUGGAGAAAACCUUAAAUAAAUUCCUUACACAUGCCUCAUUUAACUUCACCAUCUCACUGUGUAAGUUGAAGAAAGUCUUCUCAGUUUCCUUUAAGUGCCUCUCCAUGUACAAAUACCGCUCCCCUUCAUCAGGGCACUUGGGCUCUGAGAAAAGGGAAAGAAUAAUCUAUUGAGUUUCUUGAGAUUAUUUUUCAUAUCCAUCCUCUUCUUCAACUAUCUUUCCUCCACUUAAAAGAAAUUGUCUGGGAAAACUGGAGAUUUCUUUCUUUCUUUUUUUUUUUUUUUUUGAGUAAUGUGCCCAGCAGUGGUCCCUCAGACAAAGCCUACACAUUUGCUAAAGCCCAUCAUCCCACAAGAGUCUCUUCCCCAAAUUCUAAGUGUUGUUGCAAAAUGCUUGAUAAAUAAGUGUGAAUAAGAUAAUUACCUACUCCUAUUUCCAAAAAAGCUUGUUGGCAGGUGGAGUUAGUAAGACAGAGCUCUCACAUUCAAUAAUAACUUUGUAAACAUUUUCUCCUGUUUAGAUGGAAUAAAAAAUAAUUUCCCAUUUUCAGAUAAAUGUUAUCAAGAGGGUGUUAAUUGGUAUGAGAAUGUCUUAUUUAUCAUUUUGGUAGCAAUUUUUUUAAAAUAACCAAUUUAAGCAAGAAUCGUUUCUAGAAGGAAAGAGUCCUAGUGAGGGUGUCGUUCUCAGUUUGAUGUUUUCAAGAACUGACAUGUUGGUCAGCUACUCACACAUAAGGUAAGACAUCACUUUUGUGAGGAUAAAGAUGCUAUGCGAUUCUAACUUAGCUUGCCUCCUUCUCAGCAUCAAGGCCACACUUCUAUGUCACCUGUCUUAUCUGCCUCAGCAGAGACUGUCAGCUGAGCUGUGAUUCACAGGUGUCCCAGAAGUGAGGGUGGACAGAAGACCUGUUUAUCCAACUGAAGAAUCAUGCCAUUUAUUUCUUUUGAAUUUUUGGUCCUUCAUCCUCUGGAGUGUUCGGAAAUAUCCAGUGCUAUUCUUUGGCUUAACACAGAGAAGUGAGUCUUACAGUGGGGGUGGGGUUCAGGGCCAUUUCUUGUGUUCUCCAAAACAGAGACUGAUGUGAGUGACGAGGAAGACCCUACAGGCAGGUCACAGUGGCUGCUCUGGAAGAUUAUCUUACCAUUUUUUUAUUAUUAUUAUUCCUUGUUUGGUUUUGCUUCAAUAUUAGUUUCCAGAAGUAAAAUACACUUAUAUUUCCUUAUCAAAUGAAUUAUUUAGAAACAACAGUAAGUUUCUAAUAUACUGGAUGAUUCGCAUGGCCUCUACAUAAAAAAUAUAUAUGGCA